CCUGGCUCAGAACGAACGCUGGCGGCGUGCUUAACACAUGCAAGUCGAACGGGAUUAGCAUGGAGCACAGAGCAGAGGGCAAAGGGUAGAUAAAGAACUCUAAGCGCUAUGCUCCGUGCUCUAUGCUAAUUUAGUGGCGGACGGGUGAGUAACACGUAGGUAACCAACCCUAAAGCGGGGGACAACCCAGGGAAACUUGGGCUAAUACCGCAUAAGACCACGGACUGGGAUGUCUGUGGUAAAAGGAGUAAUCCACUUUAGGAUGGGCCUGCGGCCUAUCAGGUAGUUGGCGGGGUAAAGGCCCACCAAGCCUAAGACGGGUAGCCGGACUGAGAGGUUGAACGGCCACACUGGAACUGAGAUACGGUCCAGACUCCUACGGGAGGCAGCAGUGGGGAAUUUUGCGCAAUGGGCGAAAGCCUGACGCAGCGACGCCGCGUGGAGGAUGAAGGUUUUCGGAUUGUAAACUC
rnacentral:rRNA from 1 species